CCACGGAGGAGACGAAAGAAAGACAAAAAGGAGAAAGUGAUACAUCCCUGCCUGUAUGAGGACAGCAUCAAGUUGCAUGGCAGCCAUCAUCCUGUCAAGCCUGCUCUUUAGGGCCACAAUCAGCCAGUUGAUCCUCCCUAGCAGCAACAAGAGCAGGCAGGCAGAUGGUCCCAGCAGAGAGGACUACAAGGUGUGAACGGACACCACACGGCUCACAACCUGUCCGUCCCUCUGGCUUCCAUGUCUGCAGGGAGCGUGUAAAAAGAUCUAUUUGAUUGCAAAAAGAAGCGCUGCUGAGGAG